rnacentral:rRNA from 1 species
CGGAGGAUCCAAGCGUUAUCCGGAAUCAUUGGGUUUAAAGGGUCCGUAGGCGGGUUUAUAAGUCAGUGGUGAAAGCCCAUCGCUCAACGAUGGAACGGCCAUUGAUACUGUAGAUCUUGAAUUAUUAGGAAGUAACUAGAAUAUGUAGUGUAGCGGUGAAAUGCUUAGAGAUUACAUGGAAUACCAAUUGCGAAGGCAGGUUACUACUAAUGGAUUGACGCUGAUGGACGAAAGCGUGGGUAGCGAACAGGAUUAGAUACCCUGGUAGUCCACGCCGUAAACGAUGGAUACUAGCUGUUCGGAGCAAUCUGAGUGGCUAAGCGAAAGUGAUAAGUAUCCCACCUGGGGAGUACGUCCGCAAGAAUG